UACAGAGGGGGGCAAGCGUUUAUUCGGAAUUAUUGGGCGUAAAGGGCGCGUAGGCGGCCUGGCAAGUGGAUGGUGAAAUCCCUCGGCUUAACCGAGGAACUGCCAUCCAGACUGCUUGGCUUGAGACCGGGAGAGGUGAGUGGAAUUCCCAGUGUAGCGGUGAAAUGCGUAGAUAUUGGGAGGAACACCAGUGGCGAAGGCGGCUCACUGGACCGGUACUGACGCUGAGGCGCGAAAGCGUGGGGAGCAAACGGGG
rnacentral:rRNA from 1 species